GACGAACGCUGGCGGCGUGCUUGACACAUGCAAGUCGAGCGAUGAAGUUUCUUCGGAAAUGGAUUAGCGGCGAACGGGUGAGUAACACGUGAGGAAUCUGCCCUUCACUUUGGAAUAACUCCGGGAAACCGGAGCUAAUACCGGAUAGGAACUCUGGCGGCAUCGCCGGAGUUGGAAAGUUUUUCGGUGAAGGAUGACAUCGCGGCCUAUCAGCGUGUUGGUGCGGUAAUGGCUCACCAAGGCGACGACGGGUAGCCGGCCUGAGAGGGCGACCGGCCACACUGGGACUGAGACACGGCCCAGACUCCUACGGGAGGCAGCAGUGGGGAAUAUUGGGCAAUGGGCGAAAGCCUGACCCAGCGACGCCGCGUGCGGGAUGAAGGCCUUCGGGUUGUAAACCGCUUUCAGCAGGGAAGAAGCGAAAGUGACGGUACCUGAAGAAGAAGCACCGGCUAACUAUGUGCCAGCAGCCGCCGUAA
rnacentral:rRNA from 1 species